AUACGAUGAAGAGUUUGAUCCUGGCUCAGGAUGAACGCUAGCGGCAGGCUUAACACAUGCAAGUCGAGGGGUAGAAGUCUU
rnacentral:rRNA from 1 species